rnacentral:rRNA from 1 species
UACGAAGGGGGCUAGCGUUGUUCGGAAUUACUGGGCGUAAAGCGCGCGCAGGCGGUUCUUCAAGUCAGUGGUGAAAGCCCGGAGCUCAACUCCGGAACUGCCAUUGAGACUGUGGAACUUGAGGAUGAGAGAGGUGAGUGGAAUUCCCAGUGUAGAGGUGAAAUUCGUAGAUAUUGGGAAGAACACCGGUGGCGAAGGCGGCUCACUGGCUCAUUUCUGACGCUCAGGCGCGACAGCGUGGGGAUCAAACAGG